rnacentral:rRNA from 1 species
UUACCUAGAGUUGUAGGCUUUGCCUGCUAUCUCUUACCCAUGUCUUUUAAGUACCUUCGUUUCCUCGGCGGGUUCGCCCGCCGAUUGGACAAUUUAAACCAUUUGCAGUUGCAAUCAGCGUCUGAAAAAACUUAAUAGUUACAACUUUCAACAACGGAUCUCUUGGUUCUGGCAUCGAUGAAGAACGCAGCGAAAUGCGAUAAGUAGUGUGAAUUGCAGAAUUCAGUGAAUCAUCGAAUCUUUGAACGCACAUUGCGCCCCUUGGUAUUCCAUGGGGCAUGCCUGUUCGAGCGUCAUUUGUACCUUCAAGCUCUGCUUGGUGUUGGGUGUUUGUCUCGCCUCUGCGUGUAGACUCGCCUCAAAACAAUUGGCAGCCGGCGUAUUGAUUUCGGAGCGCAGUACAUCUCGCGCUUUGCACUCAUAACGACGACGUCCAAAAGUACAUUUUUACACUCUUGACCUCGGAUCAGGUAGG